rnacentral:rRNA from 1 species
CCGACAGGCGUAGUCGAAUGGAUGAACGGGUCGAUAUUCCCGUACCGGCUGGCGACCGACAAAACCGAGCCCGUGAGCACUAACCUCCGGCAUUAUCCGACGCAUCCUUCGGGGUGUCGAGGAUGGUGUCGUUGGGACUGUAGCGGUAGUAGGUCAGCGCAGGAGUGACACGGAAGGGUGGCCGGCUCCGGAGGUGGUUUUCCGGGG